AGGGCGAGAUUUCAGAGUAACGAUCAUGCUAAUGUCUUGAAGAACAACAGACACAAAGGCAUAGCCACUAUUUAUCUUCCUCUGUUUGUCGCGUUACGUCCCUGUCCUCGUCUGGGUCUACCCUCCUUCGUCCCAUCCCCCUGUCCCCCGCAAGUGCCCGCCCUAUGAUGUCCUUCUACUUUUUAUAGAGCUCACGAACUCUCUCUAAACUGCCUUCCAUUCCUUCCUCCUCCCAUCUCAUCACCAACAGAAGAAGAAGAACAUUUGAAAGGGUUCACGUUUCUGUCUUUUCCCAGCUGACAAUCACGUUCAGUGCUUCCUUCCUGUUCAAGCUCUUGAUUGGGGAAAAGGGCAAUGAAAUGAUGUGGGGUUCUGCUUCUUGGAAGAUGACAAAAAGUUCCAGUCUGCGGACACUGAGGGUGCCAUUUAUGUGAUUUUGGACUUUUUGGGGUCUCCCUGAUUGAUUCCUCGGAGCCAUCUGAGCAAUCUCUCUUGUUUUCUCAUGUGAAAGAGGGCUUCUGAUGGGUUUGGAUCAAGAAAGUGAAGUUCUGAGUCAGAGCAUGACUUCAGGAGACGAUCUUCCAAAGAGUUUUCCCCGCAAGGAAAUGUGCGGCAAAGAGGAGAGCAUUGACAGAGAUAUCUCAAUGGACCGUGUCAAGCUUCAGGACAUGGUUCGAAUGGAGAAGAAGCCAGGCCCAGAUACCGAAGCCCAUAGUUCACUGAAACAAGAGAUUUUACAGCUCGAGAAGAGAUUGCUAGAGCAGGUCAAGGUCCGAUGUGCUCUAGAAGCGGCUCUGGGAUUCAGGAGCUCAUCCUUUGGACACUUUAGUCCGACCUCCAUGCCAAAGCCGGCAACGGAGUUAAUCAAGGAAAUCGCAGUUUUGGAGCUGGAAGUAGUGUACUUGGAACAGUACCUUCUCUCUCUGUACCGGAAGGCCUUCGAUCAACAAGUAACGUCUGUAUCUUCAUCAACAAGGGACAAGAUCGUGGAAGCUGAUGUUGAGACCCCACAAGGAAGUUUCCUCAAUGCACGCACUUCCCAGCUCAAUGCCACGUCAAAUCAGGAGCAAAGAAUUGUUCGAUCUACUUGUCAGUCACUUGAUGACACAGCCAAGAAUACUACUGGUAGAGAAGAGAAUCAAUCGGAUUCAGAAGUUAACCGGUGCCACUCAGCUUUACCGCAAAGCUCGGGUUUUGCAGCCAAAACUGCUCUCCCAUUAGAGGGCUCACCCCGAGCUCUUCGCGCCUGUCACUCCGAGCCGUUUGCACUGGCUGAGUAUGCAGAGAACACUGCCCAAAACGUGCUUAGUUUAGCAGAACAUCUUGGGGCCCGCAUCUCCGAUCACGUCCCGGAAACACCCAAUAGGCUUUCUGAGGACAUGAUAAGGUGCAUGUCAGCUAUAUAUUGCAAGCUCGCUGAGUCUCCUCUUAUGCGUGACGGCCUUUCUUUGCCCUUCUCAUCUUUGUCCUCACCGAGCGGGUUCUCUCAAAGGGAGCCACUGGAUAUGUGGAGUCCGGGAUUCGGGAAUAGCUCGUCCUUUGAUGUUAGACUAGAUAAUCCUUUCCGUGUGGAGGGCCUCAGAGAGUUCAGCGGGCCCCACAGCACGAUGGUCGAAGUGCCAUGGCUUCACCGAGACAGCCGAAAACUGGGUGAAAUCGAACAUAUGUUGCAAGAUUUCAGGUCUCUUAUUGGUCGUUUGGAAGAAGUCGAUCCAAGGAAGUUAAGGCAUGAGGAGAAACUUGCUUUCUGGAUCAAUAUCCAUAACGCGUUACUGAUGCAUGCAUUCUUGGCUUAUGGAAUUCCAAAGAACUCCACAAAGAGGCUCUUUCUACUGCUGAAGGCUGCUUAUAAUGUCGGAGGGCAUACGAUCAGUGCGGGUACGUUACAGAGCUCUAUCCUUGGAUGCCGAAUGUGCCGUCCUAAUCAGUGGCUUCGGUUGUUACUCACUUCGAAAACAAAAUUUAAGGCUGGAGAUGAUCGGCAAGCUUAUGCAAUUGAUCGUGCUGAGCCUCUUUUACACUUUGCUCUGUGUUGUGGAAACCACUCUGAUCCUGCGAUCCGCCUGUUCACCCCAAAGAGAGUCCUCCAGGAGUUAGAAACGGCGAAAGGAGAGUAUAUUCAGGCAACCUUCGGCAUUCGCAAGGACAGGAGAGUCCUAUUGCCCAAACUCGUGGAGUCAUUUGCGAAAGACUCGGGGUUAUGCCCAAUGGGACUGGUAGAGAUGGUUCAGCAAGCCCUACCGGAAUAUUCAAGGAAGAGUUUGAAGAACUGGGACCUGGGAAAAUCACGCAAGAACAUCGAAUGGGUCUCUCACAAUUUCAACUUUCGAUAUCUGAUACCAAAAGAGUUAGCAAAGUAAUAUCUUUUCCUUUCGGUGUCCUUCCAUUGUACAGGGGAUUAGGCAGGCAGAGGAUAGGACUACGCAAUUUUUUUGGCAUGCUGUAAAUGCUUAGGGAGGGCUGAGAGGUGCAUCAAAUGGAUCUCAACAGUGUGUUCCUCCGUGGAGGCCUUGAUGAGGAAGUCUAUACGUCGCUCCCCAGGUUUUUCACCUGCUUCUGCUGGUAAGGUCUGUCGCUUACGCAAGUCUCUCAGUGGACUUUGCCAUGCAUCCC